GUGGCGGGUAGCUAAGUGGUAAAGCAGCGUGAGUAUGUCCUUGUUCACAACCUUGUCCGUAAGGGCCGACGAAUGAGGGUUAUCGGUUAACGCGCGAUCGCAGGUUCGAUUCCUGCCCCACCACACCA
rnacentral:tRNA from 1 species